rnacentral:rRNA from 1 species
GGCUGUCGUCAGCUCGUGUCGUGAGAUGUUGGGUUAAAGUCCCGCAACGAGCGCAACCCUUGCUUUAAUUGCCAUCAUUGAGUUGGGCACUUUAAAGAGACUGCCGGUGUUAAACCGGAGGAAGUGGGGAUGACGUCAAGUCCUCAUGGCCCUUAUAGGUGGGGCUACACACGUCAUACAAUGGCCGGUACAGAGGGUAGCCAACCCGCGAGGGGGAGCCAAUCCCACAAAGCCGGUCGUAGUCCGGAUCGCAGUCUGCAACUCGACUGCGUGAAGUCGGAAUCGCUAGUAAUCGCGGAUCAGCAUGUCGCGGUGAAUACGUUCCCGGGUCUU